CGGCAUCGCUAGGGGUCCUGCGCCUGGCGUUCGGCGCAGAUGGCUAGCAAAGUGUAGGCCAUGGCGGCGGAUGACGGAGCGCGGGUGAGAAAUACCCUUGGAACCUGACCCGGAUAAUACCGGCGUAGGGAAGCGUCACCUGCCCGCC
rnacentral:ncRNA from 2 species